UUGAAGAUUUUAUUUUGGAGACAAAGUAGGUAAUUGAAGGACGAUGGAUGUAUAGCAGCAACUUACUAGGUAUACGCGUAUGUAUUAUGUACUUUCACCGAUGGUACACAAAACGAUUAGGUACCUACAUACAUUAAAUUUUGUUUAUCGAUCAAAGUGUUUGUGCAAAUUGUAUAUAGCCUCGAGCAACUGAAACUAGGUAAUACCAUAGUGUAAACGAGUACCAUAAUUACCCUUCAAGGUUAGCACGAGAACAGCGUCUAUAGGUAAACAAUAAUUAAAUAUAAAUUACAACUUCUAAUUUUUAUAUCUUGCUCUACAAUUCUAUGAGACGGAUUCCUCGACGAUUUAGCUAGGCACCAGUUGCAACGUGUGACGAAUUUUGGUGAGCCACAUGGAAUCGCUUUGCUUCCAUGCUUAUGAUAAAUCGUAGAUGUCCAUGUCCUCCUACAAUCUAGAAGAAUCUGCCUUUUUCGGUAUGGUUGUGGUAAACAAAAUUUGUUUUUUUGUUAAUGUACUUUUCACUUACAUUCCUCUAAAGUUGCUCUCAAGUUCCCCUUCAGUUACACUCAGGUUCGCAUCAGAUUCUUCUCAAGUUUCUAUCAAAUUUUACUGUUCCUGUCAAGUAUCCAUUAAUGUCUCUCAAUUCCUCAUAAGUCGCUCUCCAAUUGCCUUCAACUUCUGCGUAAGCUUCCCUCAAGUUCUUCUCCAGGUUCCUCUCGUGGUUUGAAACCAAAAGUGGCCCAAUAUAAUUGUAUAGGUAGAAGACCAACCAAGUCAAUGACUCGCUAUAAAUGCAAAUGUGACACGCAACGGUUUUUUCCAUCAAUCUCUACACAAAAUUUCCAAUACGUACUCAUUUGGGGACAUAAAGUUUCACCGGUCCUUAUUGAGAAUAAUACUUAUUCCUCGUAUAUGUACUAUUCCAUUUACCCAUAGUGGAAAAUACCUACUUAGAACUUAUGUCGUAAGAUUUGUUAGUGGUGAUCUCCCCGAUUUUUACAACUUUAGAUUAAGUAACUAUGAGUUCUAGGGAAAAAUUCAAUGCCUAUCUACGCACCUCGACUAUGAAAUUCCAAAUUCGUUAACACAGAGACUUUAUUGCAAUUUAUAGAUAAAUAACUAUUUUUAGCCCUGCGUAUGGUGCAAAGAAUAAGAGAAAUUGUAUAUGUGCCUAAUUUAAACUAUUAGAUGAUAGUGUUAUCGUACCAGCACCUGUUUCCAAGGCGAUAAAGAAUGUCAAUGGCACAACCGACAUGCUAAAUUCGCCUAUAGCAUGGAUCAGUAUAAUGUUACUGAUUCCAUGCCUAUGGUCAAUGUCCCGAACAAAAUUACACCCCUAACCUAUACAAAGCGAUCUAUUUUUUCAACAUUUAAUCAGGUCGACUGCACCAUUUUCUAAAUUAUUUUUCUUAUGGUGCCGUUCACUUUGAUUACCGUGAACGAUUCCUCGUAUAAGGGCUGGAGUGAUCCCUUUGCGCUUCUUUUCGCACAAAAACGUGCUACGGAUGGACGAAAAUUCUUGGCUUUCCAUGUUUGCUUGCUGGGGAUGGCCGGAUAUCUUCGCGAAGGAGGAUCUGAGGGUCUUAUAUAUAGUGUCCCAUGCUAUAAUAAAAAAUAGUGUCCGGAGUCCGGAUGAUGCGGGCUGCUGGCAAAUAAGGAAAAAAAGGAUGCUUUUAGCGUCCGAUGAUGACGUUGCACUUUACCGUCCGCCUGGGGAUGAUAUGCGGUAUAGUUCGACACGUGUGAUUCCGAGGAGGCGGUUGAUUUCAGCGAAGAGAACAGACUCAAAUUGUUGGUCACUGUCGGUUGGAAUCUGUUCCGGAAUUCCGAAUCUUGCAAUCCAGACUCGGCGGAGAUGUCAUUUUUGGGAACACGGCUGGCCAGGUCGUGAAGCGGUCGAGGAGAGCAAGUGCAUACAUGUAUCCUAAGUUUGUAGAAAGGGCCGAACCGACGAAAUCCAUGUCUAUCGAUUUCGAGGGUUACCUCCCCAUCAUCAGGCUUAGCUGAAAGGUGAUCCGGUGUGGCGAUAAAUCUUGGAGUGUUGACCAGUGGCAUCCCUAGAGGGGAGGCAAGAGGGUAGUGUGCCCCUUCCGCUUUUAGCGCCUUGUAGGUGGUAAAAAAUGAGUGAGACAUCUAAAUUUUAUUAUGUAUAUAUACAUACAUAGCUCCUUCUGCGUUAAAGCAAUUCUAAGCUAUAUUUAUUUAGUUAACACCCAUAAAUGUAUUUGGGGAAUGGCACCGCGCCGCCGCCCAUUGGCGUGGACCAUCGAGACACUGGCGACACCAAAGGUGGAAGUCGGAUUUUAUUUUGGGCCAUACGCCCAUACAAUCCUUACUAACGUGCGGGUGGUAAAAAAAGGAAACGGGCGCUGCAUCAGCAGUAGCACACCACCUUCUGCCCUCUAAACAGUAUAAUGAGAAUGACGAUCGUUGGGCUAUUUUCGUACUUCACGAAUGUUUAUAUGACACUUUCGUCUCUAACGAAAGCUAUGUCUAUGGAAAACAGUCUUUAUGACGGUGCUUUUGAAGGUUUCGGAAUGCGUUUCCAAUGCAUUUGCGAGAAAGACCUUUUCUACCUGUCAGGUCAGCAUUGGUAUAUAGGUAUAGUGACCAUAAUUUUUCAACAAGAAAAAAGUACAUUUAUAAUUUACAGGGGAAUGCACUGCUAAUACUCUAGGAAAUUUUUUUGGUCACAAUUUUACGAAUCUAAUCAAACAGUAAGCAAAAAAAGUUUUUUUUUAUCAAACAUAGGUACAUAAAUUAAGUGUCUUUAUAUGUAUAUAUAAAUUUUAAAAGUUAAUUUUCCUCCGACGUUCCUGCCUGAACAUUUUGAUCAUCAUUUUGGUACCAGUCGUACUUUUUGGAACCAUGAAUUUCUUUCAGAAGUUGUGGUUUACUCUUUAAGAAUUGAAACAUUUCAUCGAUAGGUUGCUGCACAAUGGAUCAAAAUCCAACUAAGCAAUACGCCAAAGCAUUUAUGACCAAAGACAUGCAAGAAGUCAUAAUUAUAUUUCGUUUGGACAAAAGGUAUGACUUAAUUUUGUGUAAUUAAGAAAAAGAGUACAUUUAAGUGUACUUGAUAAAUCGUAAAGGACAAUAGGACAGCGUUUGAAAAGAAAGUACUGUCCUACUAA